rnacentral:lncRNA from 1 species
UUGCUCGUGUAUUUCUUUAAAGAAAAUAAUAUUUAAUUUAUAUAAGUUCAGCUCCCCUGUGUAAGAAAAGCUUCUAGCCUUACCUUAUUUGAUGUGCACAUUGGCCUGGUUUAAACCAUAGAGACUGCAACACCCCAUGCAAUAACCACUGCUAACUAUCUUAAAGAAGCACAUGUAGUGAACCAUCUUUGUACCAAAUUUUUAAAAUAUGUACAUGUUAUUGGAGAUUUUAUUUGAUCUUCUUGAACUUGGUGCUGUUUUUUUCCCCCUUCCAUUCAGAUGGAUUUCUUUGCUUCUGUGUGAGUAUGUGUAGGUUUGUAUUUGCAUGUGUGUGUUUUAAACAUUAAUCUAAUUUUGGCAGUUUUAAAAGUUUGCCACUGAGCACAUGUUUGCUAGUUCAUCAGAACCUACUCAUCCUUUUCUGACCCGAAACCUGAUGGUGUCCAGCUAUAGAGCAAAUCAGGCCUGCAGGCUGCCUUCAUGGGAUGAAAUGGUGCUUAGAGAGAGACUAGGUUCAGUCCCAUGGGACUGAUCUCAGCACAUCCGUCAGUUGGAUUCAUAUGUUUACAUGUUAAAUAAGUGUUGAUCUCAAACCCUCAACUUCACCUCUUGCUUUAUGACAGAAAUUCCUAAUAUUUCACAUUUUUCUUCCUUUAGCUCUUAUUCCAUUCAGGAGUGGAAAACAUGCAAGUGACCCUUGCAUGCCAAGCUGCUCAGAAAAAUGCUUUGAUGGUGGCUGUCCAACAGGCAUCCUUCUAUCACACGUCCCGAUGGGGCUGUUCUGCUGAUGUGAAGGAAACAAGUUCAGAUCUGAGAAAUCAUGGUGGAAUGGGUCCAGCCAGAAAAAGAAUUUCCGGAAUUGUGAAUGGCAUAGAAAACUUGCAGUUAGCCCCAACUCCUAAAGUUCCAGACACCCUCACUCAUCCUUUGGAAAGAUUCCAGGCUACCAAAAGGGCGCCAGAGGCUUUUGUGUCUAUUCAACUAGAAAAGGUGGGGCUGCGGGACAUGAUGCUGAACGCCUUCCUCCUCAGGAAACAAACGAUGGCUGACAGAAUGAAGAACCAUGUGAGUUUAGUGAGAAGGACACAUUAA